rnacentral:ncRNA from 1 species
UUUCCCUCAGGAUAGCAGUAACGCGAAUUCUGUUUUAUGAGGUAAAGCGAAUGAUUAGAAGGUUUGGGGUUGAACAACCUUAACCUAUUCUCCAACUAAUCAUAUAUGAUACCUAAAGUCCUAAAGCGAAAAUGAUAGUGAGGACUUCAUCUCUUCCUUUGAAGUUACA